ACGAGUGGCGGACGGGUGAGUAACACGUGGGUAACCUGCCCUUAAGUGGGGGAUAACAUUUGGAAACAGAUGCUAAUACCGCAUAAAUCCAAGAACCGCAUGGUUCUUGGCUGAAAGAUGGCGUAAGCUAUCGCUUUUGGAUGGACCCGCGGCGUAUUAGCUAGUUGGUGAGGUAACGGCUCACCAAGGCAAUGAUACGUAGCCGAACUGAGAGGUUGAUCGGCCACAUUGGGACUGAGACACGGCCCAAACUCCUACGGGAGGCAGCAGUAGGGAAUCUUCCACAAUGGACGCAAGUCUGAUGGAGCAACGCCGCGUGAGUGAAGAAGGCUUUCGGGUCGUAAAACUCUGUUGUUGGAGAAGAAUGGUCGGCAGAGUAACUGUUGUCGGCGUGACGGUAUCCAACCAGAAAGCCACGGCUAACUACGUGCCAGCAGCCGCGGUAAUACGUAGGUGGCAAGCGUUAUCCGGAUUUAUUGGGCGUAAAGCGAGCGCAGGCGGUUUUUUAAGUCUGAUGUGAAAGCCCUCGGCUUAACCGAGGAAGUGCAUCGGAAACUGGGAAACUUGAGUGCAGAAGAGGACAGUGGAACUCCAUGUGUAGCGGUGAAAUGCGUAGAUAUAUGGAAGAACACCAGUGGCGAAGGCGGCUGUCUGGUCUGUAACUGACGCUGAGGCUCGAAAGCAUGGGUAGCGAACAGGAUUAGAUACCCUGGUAGUCCAUGCCGUAAACGAUGAAUGCUAGGUGUUGGAGGGUUUCCGCCCUUCAGUGCCGCAGCUAACGCAUUAAGCAUUCCGCCUGGGGAGUACGACCGCAAGGUUGAAACUCAAAGGAAUUGACGGGGGCCCGCACAAGCGGUGGAGCAUGUGGUUUAAUUCGAAGCAACGCGAAGAACCUUACCAGGUCUUGACAUCUUUUGAUCACCUGAGAGAUCAGGUUUCCCCUUCGGGGGCAAAAUGACAGGUGGUGCAUGGUUGUCGUCAGCUCGUGUCGUGAGAUGUUGGGUUAAGUCCCGCAACGAGCGCAACCCUUAUGACUAGUUGCCAGCAUUUAGUUGGGCACUCUAGUAAGACUGCCGGUGACAAACCGGAGGAAGGUGGGGAUGACGUCAAAUCAUCAUGCCCCUUAUGACCUGGGCUACACACGUGCUACAAUGGAUGGUACAACGAGUUGCGAGACCGCGAGGUCAAGCUAAUCUCUUAAAGCCAUUCUCAGUUCGGACUGUAGGCUGCAACUCGCCUACACGAAGUCGGAAUCGCUAGUAAUCGCGGAUCAGCACGCCGCGGUGAAUACGUUCCCGGGCCUUGUACACACCGCCCGUCACACCAUGAGAGUUUGUAACACCCGAAGCCGGUGGCGUAACC
rnacentral:rRNA from 1 species